CUACACCCGUCCAUCUCGGCAAGUGCCAAGCCUUGAUGAGUAGGAGGGCGCGAUGUUCGCUCAGAACUCUCGGGUGUGAGCCUGGUUGGAGCGGACAUCGGUGCAGAUCUUGGUGGUAGUAGUAAAUAUUCAAAUGAGAGCUUUGAAGGCCGAAGUGGGGAAAGGUUCCAUGUGAACGGUGCUUGCACAUGGGUUAGCCGAUCCUAAGGGAUGGGGUAAUCUCGUCUAAGAGCGCGAUUGUCGUGCGAUCUUCGAAAGGGAAGUGGGUUAAAAUUCCCUUGCCGAGAUGUGGCGGUUGAUGGUAACAUUUGGAAGUCCGGAGAUGUCGGUGGGGGCCCCGUGGAGAGUUAUCUUUUCUGUUUAACGAUCUGUUCGCCCUGGAAAUGGUUUAGCCGGAGGUAGGGUGUGAUGGUCGAAAGAGCGUUGCAUGUCGUGCGAUGUUCGGUGCGCUCCCAGCGGCCCAUGAAAAUCUGGAUGACCGAGUAUCGACCACGCUCGUUCGUACUAAUAACCGCAUCAGGUCUCCAAGGUGAACAGCCUCUGGUCAAUGGAGCAAUGUAGGCAAGGGAAGUCGGCAAAAUAGAUCCGUAACUUUGGGAAAAGGAUUGGCUCUGAGGACUGGGCACGGGGGUCGCGUUCUGGAAUGCGUUGGCUAUCGGCGGAUUGCUUGGGCUGCGCUUGCGGCAAAAGCGAGCUGUUGGCUGUCGACGGAAGGAAGGAUCGUGAAUGGCGA
rnacentral:rRNA from 1 species